UUCUGAACGGAUCCAAGCGUUUGCAUUAUAGGUGUGAAAGUAGCCUAACCCCUACACUGAACCCCCGACCGACAGGUCCCCACAUCUCAGCAUCCAGCACCCUUGUGCAGGUAACGUUGGCCACAGUCGCCAAAUUUCAGCUAUUUUGCAACCGAAGGAGAGUAAAUGAAAGGAAGGAACCAGUUACUGCAGGCAAACACUGGAUUCUUCCCUGCAGUACAUUUCAUAUAUCCUGGAACAUACAGCGUCUGCUAUAAGGUCUCCUCGCCGUCGGAUCCUCCAUGACAUCAUGUAAUCUAUAACAUAACGGGUAGGCACUUUGAGAUGUGACACAUGACUUCAUUCUCUAGGGGCAGGUUCAGGGGUCAGGGGAUUUGGCCUUCGGAAACCAUGUAUGAAAAAAGAAAACACGUCAGUCAACAUACAGGCAGGAUGUCACUAAUGCGCAGAACUCGAGGGACAGGUCAGACGCCACCUCAGACAAUACCCAGGAUCCCUGCAGCCGCACAUCGGAUCUGUGACUGGUACCAGAUAUAAUCACUGCAACCUUCAUACGACGUGCAGCUGACCACAUCUAUAAAGGUGCCUUAGCACCUAGUUAAAAGGGAUUUAACAUCUGAGUGUAUGAUGAUAAAUGAUCUGGCGUUUGGAAUUGGCACUUGGGCUUGUGAUAUCAUACGUAGACACGCUUCCAUAUGGAGACAGAUCUGCCUUCCCUAAAGGGGAUGUCUGGGCUACAGAUACUGAUGACUUCUUCAGGAUUGGUCAUUGAUAUCGGUGGGGGUCUGACGCCCAGCAGCAUCCCUGCCAAGCAGCCUCAACGCUAGAAACUAUAUACAGUAUACGGAGGGGAAACAGACUGUUCCAUGCACUGUGCAUUUUACGCCGCUAGCCUACUGCAGCUCAAAGAUCAUUCACUUCAAUGGAAGCUGAGCUGCAGUACCCGACACGACCACUACACGGUGUACAGAGCCGUCUGCUUCCAACCGCCGUGCACUGUACAGUAUCUGGCAUUGGUGGGGGGUGUCAGACCCCCACCGAUCUCAUAGCGAUGACCUAUCCUGAGGAUAGAUCAACAGUAUCUGUAGUCCAGACACUGCAGGAUGCAUGUGUAAAACACAGAAGUCAAAUUUACAGAACAGCCCCAUAAAAUUACAAACUGAACACCUACAAAUCGGGGGCAGAAAAGUUUUGACGCCUGAUAUGUUAUUUAAUGCAUCUGAG